rnacentral:lncRNA from 1 species
AUAUAUGUGGACCAAACUGAGCUCAUUCCCAAGGGAGAUAAUUCAAUACUACAUCAUGAAGCGUUCUUCUUCUUCCUCCUCCUCCUCCUCUAUUGCACAAACUAUGGCAAUCCUGGCUAUUUUAUUACUCUGCUACUUCCUGCCAUGCUCGACGGCCACCCAAGGUAAGUAUUAAGUUUUUUAUUUGUUUGGCAUUAAUUUUAUGAGCGGUACAGCUCACUGGUAAGACACCCGGCCGACGUCCCUUUGCUCCACAGACAAUGCUAAUCACUUCAUGUUAGUUGAUGUAAUCUCAGUGGUGACUCUUGAGCAGNCGCAGUUUAUCCGGAUGCUAACCGCGACCCGGGAGAGGGUCCUCCACCGCCGCGGCCCGGGAGACCCGUUAACUGCCUCCAUGGGUGCCGGCACCUUGACACUACGCGACCAGCGACAGUAGCGCCAAACUGCAAGAUCCUGCAGCGGGCAGGUGCCAGUGCGCCCCUAAUGUACGAAGGACCACCGAUGCCAUGACCACCGGAACUCAAACUCUUCUUUUUCUUGCCGCGCCGUGUCGAGUUCUCUGUUAUUUCAUGAUAUUGCCCGUCAUCUUCGAUCCACACUGUGUUAAGGGUGUUUGUGCCACACUGCCACUGGUAUAUGAGCGAGAACCUGGAAAACAACUCCGUAUGUGGUUGAGUCGUUCAUAGAAUUAUAUAAAAGUGAGUCGUGCCUGUUGGCGCCGCCUCUCGCAGCGCCUCUUCUUCCUCUCCCUCGCUACUCUCUCAGCUCAAGGAUUCUCUCAACAAAUUUUAAUGAACAAAAGAACACACACACAGAUGUGCCAAGGAAGAAAACCAACCAGCUUUGCCGAGGUACUCUUCCUUGGAAACCACAAGUGCUACAUCUUUUCACUCAGCCCUCACGAUCACACUUCUCCAUUACUCAAUGUAACACACACAUAUAUAUACAUAGUUUCAGGGUUAAGCAGAAAACAUGUAGCCACCCUUAUAAUUUUGGACAAACUUAUUAUGGACAAACUUAUAAUUUUGAAUUCUUA